rnacentral:rRNA from 1 species
CCUACGGGUGGCAGCAGUGGGGAAUAUUGCACAAUGGGCGAAAGCCUGAUGCAGCAACGCCGCGUGAAGGAAGACGGCUUUCGGAUUGUAAACUUCUGUUCUUAGUGAAGAAGAAUGACGGUAACUAAGGAGCAAGCCACGGCUAACAACGUGCCAGCAGCCGCGGUAAUACGGAGGUGGCAAGCGUUAUCCGGAAUUACUGGGUGUAAAGGGAGCGUAGGGGGGAAACCAAGUCAGCUGUGAAAAUUACGGGCUUAACCUGUAGCCUGCAGUGGAAACUGGGUUUCUGGAGGGAGGUAGAGGUGGGCGGAAUUCCGGGUGUAGCGGUGAAAUGCGUAGAUAUUCGGCGGAACACCGGUGGCGAAGGCGGCCAACUGGGCUUUAACUGACGCUGAGGCUCGAAAGUGUGGGGAGCAAACAGGAUUAGAUACCCGUGUAGUC